UUCUGCUUCAUCUCUACAAUCCGCUUAUGGAAGGAAAUUUGACCUCAGAGGCUCAGCCGGCGGAUACAGUUUCCGACCGCCGCUUGGUUGUGACGCUGAGCUGCUAUAGAAGCUUUUUAGUUUCUCACUUCAGAGGACAUAGUUGACUCCGGUAGAGGUCAGAAUUUUUUGGAUGAAGAUAAUCAAAAUACGCUAAAUUCCGAGUCUCAAGCAAAAAGGUUGAAGAUAGCUUUAGCCGGAUCACAUCAGGAUCAAACGGUACUAUUAAAGAGGAUCAUGAAGAUUCAAAUGAGGUGCAAGAUUUCAAAUUUCCCCUAGCAUUGCAUAAUCGAGGUAACAUAUAAAGCUGGGAUCCCAUGGCAUUUUGACACCCCACCGUUUCCCGCAGUAGACUAGUAGGAACAGAACCAUCGUGCCUUCGCAAACUCAUCUACUUAGAUGUAGAUGCAGAUGUAUAAUCAUCUGUAUAGUAAAGAAGUUGCUUUCUCCCUCCGAUGGAUUAUAGGUUACGUGGUCGGAGACAUAAAAUGGCUAGUAGAUGUCUUGGUGAACAUCCGUCUCCUGCUUUCGAUUUUGUGAGCUCUGUACUUAGUGUUGGACUCUUGUGUAUUUGCUUACUCCAUAAAUUGUGUAAUUGCAUACAUGUAGAAGGUUCAUGAGGCGGACUAUACGACGCCCUAAGCCCCGCCCUAUGCACCGCCAUAUCAGCAUUUUAUCAUCCGCCUCUUCCACCUGCAAUGGGGCGGACUAUAGCCCGCCCUAAGCAUUUUAC